rnacentral:misc_RNA from 1 species
CCUCCUUAAAAAAUAAUCGCUUAGGAUAGGCGUUCACACGAAUAACUUGCUUUUACCUAAAUCAUUUCUUUACAGAUUUGAGAUUAAGGAGCGUUCUUUAACAUUUUUAUAAGUUCAAUCAAGUCACAUCAUAGUGUCUUUAUUUUUUUUAAUUUAGAUAUGAAUGAUGUGCAAAUGUCACCAAACCCGUCAUGUUUUAGAACAUAAGUUUGGUGUACAUACUGCAAAGUAAUUUUGGCGAAUGACAAUAGAUACUUGAAGAACAUUAAUCAUUAAGUUGUUUGAUGUAAUAUGGUCAAGUAAAUAAGCGCAUACGGUGGAUGCCUUGGCAGCUAGAGGCGAUGAAGGACGUAGUAACUUGCGAUAAGCUUCGGGGAGCCGGUAAACAGGCUUUGAUCCGAAGAUUUCCGA